UCUGUGGCAUUGGCAAUACGCACUGCGUGAAGCCGAUUUAAAAAAAAUAAGCUAUCGUAAUUAAGUCGGAACGAACUGUUAUUUUUUCACAAAUUUACUUUCGUUUUUCAACAAUCUACAAACGUUCAGGCGUUUGCCUCAGACCGUUAUUUUGCUGGCAAAAACGCGUUUUUGACAAGAGCAGUUAGUCACGUAAAAAUUAAAAGCGUUCAUGUACAUGUCGAUCUCGACAUCUGUAUUCUGUGCAAAUUUUCAUAUUACUAAUGUUUACAUACAAUCAUUUUAUUUGUAAAAUUUUAAAUUAAUUCAAAUUCGUAGGAUCAUAAUAAUUCUUUAUAGUUUGUGUUAGGACAUUAAACCUAUUUCUUACUUUAUCUUUAAAAUUAUAAUGCAUUCAGUAGUAUCUUAAAUCUAGUAUAUCUAGAUUUAGUUGCAACUAGCAGAAAAAUUAGCAGUAGUGCAUACAAAUCUUAUCCCACUUUUUAACAUGACUGAAAAUAAGUGCUUGCCAUUAGUGUUGAUAAGCACUAGAAAUUUAACCUGUGUCAAAAAUUUUUUAGCUGAUUUAGUUGAAGACCAGACUGAGGGAAUCGAGACAAACGAAAGCCGCGUGUGGCGCAUACAAAAUAAGUACUACCGCGCCGAAGUGCGUCUGCUUGUCUGGCCAGAUGGAGAGCCACCACCGACUCACCUCGGUGGCCGUUUAGAAGCGCACGUCAUCCACUUGCUUGUAGAUGAGGGCGAGGAGGAGGCCGAGAGUCGUGCGACGGCUACGGAUACCGGAGGGGGCCGACCGCACAUCCGCCUGGCAGUCUUCGAGGGGCCUGAGACCGACGGUCUGGUCGCCUGGGGGCUGCGCCGCCGCUUCGAACUCGUGCCCCUGACGCCCAACGCCGCGUCAGACGACGAGUGCGGAGCGGACAGGGCGCGAGCCGCGCUGCACGCGCACUUGUGGCCCGGCCUCGAGCGAGUCGACUCGCGCGGCGCAACCUUCCGCCCUCCGGACUCGCUCUCGGGGAGCGGCGACGAAGCGGACGAAGGCGAAGAGGCGUGGGGCGAGUGGGAGGCGUGGGGACUGGUCCGGGCGGCGCGGGAGGCCCGCGGGGCUCUUGGUGCCGAGCCCGACGCCGAGCGGCGGCUGAGAGCGGAGACGCUGCUGCAGGCCUUUCUGUCCACGUUCCGACCCCGCGCUCCUUGAUGGGAAAUAUUUAUUAUGUCUCGUCUUGUGAGCCCACUCUUCUCUGCAAGGAGGCGGGAGAGGAUAGGGGGGACAAUUAGUUGAGCCAAGAUGGCUUUGGGUGCCCAACAAAAGUAAAUCACAAUAGUUUGUCUCAACAUUUUAUAUAAAAAAAUACAUUGAAAUGUGCGCUUUGGGCGGUCACUCAAAUCACAGAUACUGUUUAUUAUCUCUUUGGACGUAAUUUGGUAUUGAACCUUUGCUUACAACUACAUGGCAGGUGUCCAAGACAACCGAGGGCUGUCUGCAGCUCACCAAAUAUUCUAAUCUUCCAACAGCAAAUAAGUUUUAAUUGUAAAUAUUUUUCUUACUUAUCUAUUAAUAAAUAUAUCCAUCACAACAAACAGUGAAGUGGUCGUUAACUUAAUUAUAAAGUUCCGUUCAUACUUAUUCAGGUUUCGGCCAGAAGUAUAAUUAAGCUUUGCUCCACGAUGCAACAACAGGCAACAAAUAAAUAUUACGUACGAAUCACAACCUCGUCACGACACAACGUUUCUCAAAGGCACGCGGCGAUAUCGAUAGUUUAAAACGGAAUGUGCGUCGAAAAUCAAACGCUAAGCGGGUCCCGGAGGGGGCCGAUGCAGCAGAUGCGGCGAGGCCAACAGCGCGGCAAAGUAUUGGCGCGUCAGCCGAGCCAGGAAGUGAUCGCGCGCGACGCUCGAAGGCCACCAGCGCUCGAGGAAGCCGAUGUGGCCCCCGCGCCACGGGACGGCCAGAGCCACGCGAGCGCUCGCGCCCGCUUCUCGCGCCGGCAGCGCCGCCAGCGGCUGGAACGGGUCAUCGGCCGCGCACACGCACAGCAGCGGCGCCCGCACCUGCCCCAGUUUGUCGCGCAGGUUGGCCUCGCGGUAGUAUUGCUCAACCGACGCGAACCCGAAGUGUGGCGCCGUGAACGCCGCAUCGAACUCGCGCACCGAGCGGCUCGUCUCGGCCGCCGACCAGCGCCCGGCCAGCGCACCGUGCGCCCGCAGCGUGCGACGCAGGCAGCGCGUCAUGUGCCAAGACAGCGGCGCGUUGACCGGCCGCGCGAGGCACUCGGCCGCACGCUCCACGUCCAGCGGCGAAGAUAGAACGAGCGCGGCGCGCACCCGAGUUGUCUCUCCGCGCGAGGCGAGAUGGUGCGCCAGUAUGAGACCGCCGAGCGACACGCCGACGGCCAGCAGCGGCCCGCCUCCCGCGCGCUCCUCUGCCGCCACGAGCGCCGCUGCCAAGUCCUCGUGCGACAGCGCGCAGUAGAGCUUCGGGGUCUGCGAACGCGAAGGAGGUUGAGGUUGAGUGUGACGUCGGAGAUGCUUGGACGCGGCCGCGGUCACUCACCGUGAGCUGCAAUCCGCCAAGUCCGCGGUUGUUAAAGACAGCACAGCGCGCGCCGAGGCCCCUCGCGGCGGCGGCCACGCAGCGCACGUAGUCGGCGUGGGCCCCUCCGGUCAACCCCGGCACGACGACCACGACGGGAGCUUCUCCGUCCGUAAGCCCGGCCCCUUCCUCCUCGACCCAGUCGAGCGCGACCUGUCCGCCGUCUGGCAGCCGCACGAUCUGUCUGCAAACAACUCCGUUCGUCACGAACAACACGACAGCCGGGCGUUCUUGCUCGGUCUGGAGGUCACCGACCUGGUGGUGGUGAGCGGCGGUAGGAGCCGCGUGCGCAGAAGCGAUGCCAGCACUGUCUGCAGUCGCGCCUCAACGCACCAAGGUGUCGGCCAGAAAGGCUCACGUAGCGUUUCAACUUGCGACUGCAGCAAGUCCCGAAAUUCACCAUCACCACAUAUCAGCAAUGGUUUCUGGAACAUUUACAUAAAUUAUUAUAUUAUAAAACAAUUGUAAUUCACCUAAUUUAUAAGAUAGCUAAAUAUAUUAUAGUAUUUUGUUGUGUAAGUAAAUGUCAUGUACUGUAUGAGAAAUAAAAAUCUUAAACUCUUA